UCCGGUUUGGCACCGGCAGUCCUCCCAGAGUCCUCGGCAUGACCCGGUAGCAACUGGGAGCGGGGGUUGCGCUCGUUGCGGGACUUAACCCAACAUCUCACGGCACGAGCUGACGACAGCCAUGCACCACCUGUGCAGGCUCCGUAGAGCGCCGGCUUUCACCGGCUUUGCCCUGCAUGUCAAGCCCAGGUAAGGUUCUUCGCGUUGCAUCGAAUUAAUCCGCAUGCUCCACCGCUUGUGCGGGCCCCCGUCAAUUCCUUUGAGUUUUAAUCUUGCGACCGUACUCCCCAGGCGGGGUGCUUAAUGCGUUAGCUGCGGCACGGAAUCCGUCGAUAGGACCCCACACCUAGUGCCCAACGUUUACGGCGUGGACUAC
rnacentral:misc_RNA from 1 species